AGCGAACGCUGGCGGCAGGCCUAACACAUGCAAGUCGAACGAAGUCUUCGGACUUAGUGGCGGACGGGUGAGUAACACGUGGGAACGUGCCUUUAGGUUCGGAAUAACUCAGGGAAACUUGUGCUAAUACCGAAUGUGCCCUUCGGGGGAAAGAUUUAUCGCCUUUAGAGCGGCCCGCGUCCGAUUAGCUAGUUGGUGAGGUAAAGGCUCACCAAGGCUACGAUCAGUAGCUGGUCUGAGAGGAUGACCAGCCACAUUGGGACUGAGACACGGCCCAAACUCCUACGGGAGGCAGCAGUGGGGAAUCUUGCGCAAUGGGCGAAAGCCUGACGCAGCCAUGCCGCGUGGAUGAUGAAGGUCUUAGGAUUGUAAAAUCCUCUCACCGGUGAAGAUAAUGACUGUAGCCGGAGAAGAAGCCCCGGCUAACUUCGUGCCAGCCGCCGCAGUAAAAC
rnacentral:rRNA from 1 species